GACUCAGGCAAAACGAGUCACGGCGAACAGCUCAGUAACACGUGGCUAAUCUGCCCUUAGGACGAGAAUAACCCCGGGAAACUGGGGCUAACUCUCGAUAGGUGAAGAACUCUGGAAUGAGUCUUCACUCAAAAAGCUUCACGUUAUCCUCGUGAAGUCGCCUAAGGAUGAGGCCGCGGCCGAUCAGGUUGUUGGCGAGGUAACGGCUCACCAAGCCUUUUACCGGUGCGGGCCGUGAGAGCGGGAGCCCGGAGAUGGGUACUGAGACAAGGACCCAGGCCCUACGGGGCGCAGCAGUCGCGAAACCUUUGCAAUACACGAAAGUGUGACAGGGCUAUCCCGAGUGCCAUCCGCUGAGGAAGGCUUUUACCCAGUCUAGAUAGCUGGGGGAAUAAGGAGAGGGCAAGUCUGGUGUCAGCCGCCGCGGUAAUACCAGCUCUCCGAGUGGUGUGGAUGUUUAUUGGACCUAAAGCAUCCAUAGCUGGCUAGGUCAGUCCCUUGUCGAAUCCACCGAAUUAAUCGUUGGAUCGCGGGGGAUACUGCUUGGCUAGGGGACGAGAGAGGCAGACGGUAUUUUCGGGGUAGGGGUGAAAUCCUAUAAUCCCGGGAAGACCACCAGUGGCGAAGGCUGUCUGCUAGAACGCGCCCGACGGUGAGGGAUGAAAGCUGGGGGAGCGAACCGGAUUAGAUACCCGGGUAGUCCCAGCUGUAAGCGAUGCAGACUAGGUGUUUGGACGGCCACGUGCCGUUCUAGUGCCGCAGGGAAGGCUGUUAAGUCUGCCGCCUGGGGAGUACGAUCGCAA
rnacentral:rRNA from 1 species